AGACUCCCCGCCAAAACGCUGACGUAGGCGCCGGUUGGCAUGGGUAGGUCACAUUGCCUGGCUCGCUUUAUAUAACACCGUUUAUCUGCUUGGCUCCUGACCUUAGCUUGGAAUGACAUGAAAUAAAGGACACAAAUGUAAUACACCACCCGGGAUUUAAACCCAGAGCAUCUGUUCUUCAGGCCGGCCGCAUGACUCGCAAACGUCCCAGCUAAUGGUGAAAGGGUCUCUUUCAUGAACCUUAAGAAGGAGCCUAGCAGGGUGAAAUCACUGAGAUGAAUUGGAAAUCCAUCUAGCAAGUCUAAGCCCAUUCCAGAAAAUAGAUGUCUGACUGAAGAGAUGGAAGGUGAGAAGAGCACAACUGGCAAUUGAACUAUGGACAGAAACCCUCCUACAAAGUAAUUGAGACAGCUGCAUGUUGUUCCAGUUGAAGCCACCCACUCCACUACACGUUACCAAGAACUGUUUUGCUAGCAAAGAAAAAAAAAUGCACUGGAUUUCAGUAGCAACUGCUGUUGUUAAUAUUUUGGGGGCUGGGAGGUGGUGGGUGAACUUCUCUUAAGUUGAGAGAGUGCCAAAAUAACCCCUACUCAAAUUUCCUGACCGCCUAUAAUUUAAUGGGAUUUCAAAAGCACUGUUAUGUGAAAAUGAGGAAAUUAACCCUAAGACUUUGGCCUCAACCACAAAGUUACUGUGCCCUCACCCUGAAAUUCUCCAUAAAACUCCUGUGUGGGUCACUAACUGCAAAUAGAUUUAAUUGCCUCAAAA